rnacentral:rRNA from 1 species
UGGGGGAUAUUGCACAAUGGGCGAAAGCCUGAUGCAGCGACGCCGCGUGGGGGAUGAAGGCCUUCGGGUUGUAAACUUCUUUUGCUCUGAACAAGGCAUGCUAAUGGGUGUGUUGAGUGUAGGGGUUGAUUAGCGCCGGCUAACUACGUGCCAGCAGCCGCGGUAAUACGUAGGGCGCGAGCGUUGUCCGGAAUUAUUGGGCGUAAAGGGCUUGUAGGUGGCUGGUUGCGUCUGUCGUGAAAGCUCAUGGCUUAACUGUGGGUUUGCGGUGGGUACGGGCUGGCUUGAGUGCAGUAGGGGAGGCUGGAAUUCCUGGUGUAGCGGUGGAAUGCGCAGAUAUCAGGAGGAAUACCGGUGGCGAAGGCGGGUCUCUGGGCUGAUACUGACACUGAGGAGCGAAAGCAUGGGGAGCGAACAGG